GGCCUGCCAAUGCUUACCACAGGCUGUGUUCUUUACACUGACUAUAGAUAGAGUAGGUACAGUAAAUGUACCCCAUAUACACCUCAACCCAGGCCCUGCCUGCUGUUUAUUGUGAAUGGGGGGACAAAA